rnacentral:rRNA from 1 species
GAAUACCGAAGAAUGUUAUCACGGGAGACACACGGCGGGUGCUAACGUCCGUCGUGAAAAGGGAAACAACCCAGACCGUCAGCUAAGGUCCCAAAGUUAUGGUUAAGUGGGAAACGAUGUGGGAAGGCUUAGACAGCUAGGAGGUUGGCUUAGAAGCAGCCAUCCUUUAAAGAAAGCGUAACAGCUCACUGGUCUAAACAAGGGUUCCUGCGCCGAAAAUGUAACGGGGCUCAAGCCACGAGCCGAAGCUUUGGGUGUGAUCCGCAAGGAUUACGCGGUAGCGGAGCGUUCCGUAGGCCUGUGAAGGGAUACCUGUGAGGGGUCCUGGA